GAGGAAUAUUGGUCAAUGGGCGCGAGCCUGAACCAGCCAAGUAGCGUGCAGGAUGACGGCCCUAUGGGUUGUAAACUGCUUUUGUAUGGGGAUAAAGUCAAUCACGUGUGAUUGUUUGCAGGUACCAUAUGAAUAAGGACCGGCUAAUUCCGUGCCAGCAGCCGCGGUAAUACGGAAGGUCCAGGCGUUAUCCGGAUUUAUUGGGUUUAAAGGGAGUGUAGGCGGUCUGUUAAGCGUGUUGUGAAAUUUAGGUGCUCAACAUCUACCUUGCAGCGCGAACUGGCGGACUUGAGUGCACGCAACGUAUGCGGAAUUCAUGGUGUAGCGGUGAAAUGCUUAGAUAUCAUGACGAACUCCGAUUGCGAAGGCAGCGUACGGGAGUGUUACUGACGCUUAAGCUCGAAGGUGCGGGUAUCGAACAGGAUUAGAUACCCUGGUAGUCCGCACGGUAAACGAUGGAUGCCCGCUGUUAGCGCCUGGCGUUAGCGGCUAAGCGAAAGCAUUAAGCAUCCCACCUGGGGAGUACGCCGGCAACGGUG
rnacentral:rRNA from 1 species